GCAACAGCCGCAGCAUCAAACUGACAAUCCCCUCGCCUUUUACUAGGGGAUUCCGUGCUGUUCCGGUUGUAAUGUUGCUAUUUAAUCUUUGGAAAUCCAUUACUCUUCAGGAGU
rnacentral:snRNA from 1 species